rnacentral:rRNA from 1 species
AAGGAUCAUUAAUGAUUUUUUAAGCAAUCCGAGCGAGAUAAAGCGAGGAUUGCGAAAUAUUUUAAAACCCCCACUCAUUAUAACUUUAUAUAAUAAUUAAAUCAUGAUACAUGAAUUAAAAAAAGAUCACUUUCAACAACGGAUCUCUUGGCUCUCGCAUCGAUGAAGAACGCAGCGAAAUGCGAUAAGUAGUGUGAAUUGCAGAAAUUGUGAAUCAUCGAAUCUUUGAACGCAAAUUGCACUCCCUGGUAUUCCGGGGAGUAUGCCUGUUUGAGGGUCGUUAGAACAAAAAUAGAAGCGUCGCUCUUUAAGAAAUAUUUAAUAUAUUUUGUUUGGGUGAUCGCGUCGGAAUUGAGCCGUCUUUCAUAUGUUAACUCAUGUCAAAGUGGCUUAAAAUUCAUCAAUCUGGUGCGAUUUUAAAGCGUAUUUAAGAUCAACCUUGAAUAAGAACGCGCGAUGACGUACCAUCUCAUGUAGUACGUUCUGACCUGCUUGUCAGGCUCAUUCGUAUACGACAUUCAACUUUUGACCUCAAAUCAGGUAAGAAUACCCGCUGAACUUAA